rnacentral:rRNA from 1 species
GUCCCUACGGGGGGGCAGCAGUGAGGAAUAUUGGUCAAUGGUCGGGAGACUGAACCAGCCAAGCCGCGUGAGGGAUGAAGGUACAGAGUAUCGUAAACCUCUUUUGUCAGGGAACAAAGGCGGGGACGUGUCCCCGGAUGAGUGUACCUGAAGAAAAAGAAUCGGCUAAGUCCGUGCCAGCAGCCGCGGUAAUACGGAGGAUGCGAGCGUUAUCCGGAUUUAUUGGGUUUAAAGGGUGCGCAGGCGGACUGUUAAGUCAGCGGUCAAAGCCCGGGGCCCAACCCCGGCCCGGCG